CUCUAUUUAAAAACGCAGUUUUUACAUCUAAUUGAUCCAAUUCCCAAUUAAAUUGAGCUGCAAGGGCAAGUAUGGCUCUAACAGUUGUAAAUUUUACAACGGGGGAAAAUAUUUCAUUAAAGUCUAUCCUCUCCUUUUGAGCAAAACCUUUAGCCACAAGUCUUGCCUUGUAUCUAAUGUCAUUCUCAUCUUUUUCACCUCUUUUGAUCUUAUAGACCCACUUGCAAUCUAUAACUCUCUUUUCUUUAGGUCUUUUAACCAAUGUCCAAGUUUUAUUCUUUCUCAACGAUUCCAUCUCAUCAUGCAUUGUUUCUAGCCAAUACUUAGAGUCCUUGCUACUCAUAGCAUCUUUAUAGGACUCAGGUUCAUUCUCAAUGAACCCUGAACAGUAAGAAGGGAUAUCUCAUCAUCAAAUCUCACAGGUGGUCUUAUUUUUCUUAUUUCUCUAUCUCUAGCAAGUUGAUAAUCAUUUAAGGGUUGAUUUACCUCAAAAUCGGAUUCAUUUUUAUCAGUUUCUUCAUUAUUUUGAGCCUCAAUUUCACUAUUUUCAAUCUAAUCAGGUUGUAGAUUAUCAUUGUUAACUUGCUCCACCUCAAUUUCAGUUUCCCUUCCUUCAUUUUCAGUCUGACCAGAUUCAUUAGUGUUAUUUUCAGAUUUCAAACAACACAUAUCAGAUUCAUUAAACACCACAUUUCUACUUAUAAUGAUCUUAUAACCUUUGGUCUCUCUUACCCAAAGUCUAUACCCCUUCACCAUAGCCCAAAAAAACACAUCUAAGCGCCCUAGGUUUCAGUUUCCCUUCAGAUUGAUGUGCAAAUGCUGCACACCCAAAUAUUUUUAGAUUACUCAAAUCUACAAGUUUUCCUAUCCAAACUUCUUUAGGGGAUUUACAUUGUAUAGCACUAGCGGGACUUCUAUAUAUGAGAUAACUAGUAGUUUUUGUAACUUCCCCCCAAAAUAACUUGGGAAGACCAGAACCUAAUAACAUGCAUCUAACUCUUUCAAGAAUAGUUCGGUUCAUUCUUUCAGCAAAAUCAUUUUGUUGUGGGGUGUGUGUCAUUGUUCUGUGUCUCAAAAUGCCAUGCAAUUUGCACAAUUCAUCAAAUUCAUAAUUGCAAAACUCAAGCUCAUUAUCAGUCC
rnacentral:lncRNA from 1 species